rnacentral:rRNA from 1 species
AGAGUUUGAUCCUGGCUCAGAACGAACGCUGGCGGCGUGUUUAAGACAUGCAAGUCGAACGGAGUGAAGUUGUAGUAAUACCGCUUCAUUCAGUGGCGCACGGGUGCGUAACACGUGAGUUACAUGCCCUGCAGUGGGGAAUAGCCCGCCGAAAGGCGGAUUAAUACUCCAUGGUCCCGCAAGGGUAAAGGUGGCCGCAAGGCUGCCGCUGCAGGAUUGGCUCGCGGCCUAUCAGCUUGUUGGUGAGGUAACGGCUCACCAAGGCGACGACGGGUACCUGGUCUGAGAGGAUGAUCAGGCACACUGGAACUGAGACACGGUCCAGACACCUACGGGUGGCAGCAGUCGAGAAUAAUUCACAAUGGGGGAAACCCUGAUGGUGCAACGCCGCGUGGAGGAUGAAGGUCUUCGGAUUGUAAACUCCUGUCAUCGGGGAGUAAGACCUGGAGGUGAAUAGCCUACAGGGUUGAUAGUACCCGAAGAGGAAGGGACGGCUAACUUCGUGCCAGCAGCCGCGGUAAUACGAAGGUCCCAAGCGUUGUUCGGAAUCACUGGGCGUAAAGGGAGCGUAGGCGGCGUGGUAAGCCAGAUGUGAAAUCCCGGGGCUCAACCCCGGAACUGCAUCCGAUACUGCCGUGCUUGAGGGUUGGAGAGGUAGCUGGAAUUCUCGGUGUAGCAGUGGAAUGCGUGGAUAUCGAGAGGAACACUCGUGGCGAAGGCGAGCUACUGGACAACAUCUGACGCUGAGGCUCGAAGGCUAGGGGAGCAAAAGGGAUUAGAUACCCCUGUAGUCCUAGCAG